GACGAACCGUGCGAACGUUGUUCGGAAUCACUGGGCUUAAAGGGCGCGUAGGCGGGCUGUCCAGUCUGGGGUGAAAUCCCGCGGCUCAACCGUGGAACUGCCUCAGAUACUGACGGCCUCGAGGGAGAUAGGGGCAUGCGGAACUGUAGGUGGAGCGGUGAGAUGCGUUGAUAUCUACAGGAACUCCGGUGGCGAAGGCGGCGUGCUGGGACGUUACUGACGCUGAGACGCGAAAGCGUGGGGAGCAAACAGG
rnacentral:rRNA from 1 species